GACGACGCUGGCGGCGUGCUUAAUACAUGCAAGUCGAGCGAGGUUACUGUUUGGAUCCCUUCGGGGUGAAGAAGCUUUAACCUAGCGGCGGACGGGUGAGUAACGCGUGGGUAACCUACCCCAAAGUCCGGGAUAACAGCGGGAAACCGCUGCUAAUACCGGAUGCCUUUACCUUGGGGCAUCUUGAGGUAAAGAAAGGUAACGCUUUGGGAUGGGCCCGCGUCCCAUUAGCUAGUUGGUGAGGUAACGGCUCACCAAGGCGACGAUGGGUAGCCGGCCUGAGAGGGUGGACGGCCACACUGGGACUGAGACACGGCCCAGACUCCUACGGGAGGCAGCAGUAGGGAAUAUUGCGCAAUGGACGGAAGUCUGACGCAGCGACGCCGCGUGAGCGAUGAAGGUCUUCGGAUCGUAAAGCUCUGUCCUUGGGGAAGAAGGCGAAAGCUUGACGGUACCCAAGAAGAAAGCCCCGGCUAACUACGUG
rnacentral:rRNA from 1 species